rnacentral:rRNA from 1 species
AUGCUGGAUAAUGCUGGAUCGUCGGCACAUUCCCCGGCUCUAGUAAGGCGAUUCGGCCCUCCGGGCAUGGAGCGUCGCGGGUUGCUCAAGGCGGCUCUACUGGCGUGCUUGCUCGUCGUUUGCUCCGGGAGAGGUGACUCAUGUGGAAUUUUGUUCAGUAAGAUCGACUUGACGCCUCAUAUUUUAAUUUGGAAAGCGGGACUUGGUUUUAUGUAUUUAGUGGUUCUACAAAUGGUUCUGCUAUGGUUGACAUCACAAUUCUUCUAA